CGGGCGCCUUCCCCACCCCCAGGCCAGAUCCUCCUCCCAGAGGCCCCCCCCCAUCCCCCACCGCAUGCUUCUCUCCGGAUCCCUCGGCCUCCGGCAGGGCCCGGGUGGCCAAAAGCAAAAGUUUCCAGGGGGUGGGAUGUAGGAGGGAGGCGGAGAAAAUAGGUCGCCACGGGACGUAUCCUGAAAGAACGUAACAAGCGGACGUAACAUGAGUCCCCAAGAUGGCUGCCAGUGGUUCUCGAAGGCUGUGGGAUGCCGCCCUAUUGUGGCAGGAGACGAUGGCAAAUGUGGCAGGGCCAAUCAAGGACAAGCAAAGAAGCAUUUCCGUGCAGUAUGGAGGUCCAGCCAGAAACAGGGUCCACGUUCAUAACUGUGUUGUUGUUUAGUCGUUUAGUCAUGUCCGACUCUUUGUGACCCCCUGGACCAGAGCACGCCAGGC